ACACAUAAAAUAUGUUAUCUCUGCAAGAAAAAAAAAGAUAAAAUAGGAUAAAAAGAUUUUAUCUGUUUUCAACUGAAACUAAAACUAUUGUAUUGUUCAGCUAAAACUAUACUUUUUUACUUUUUAUUACUUAAUGCCCUAUUUGGUUAGGGGAUAGGGAUAGACCCUUAUACCCCUUUAUAUCCAAACACUAAUUUUUAUCAGAGAAUAGUAAUUCUCGAUUAUCUAUAAUAACCGAUUAUAACUCUCCCCACCAACACCUUCAUUUUCUAUAUAAAACUAUCUAAUAUUUUUUUUAUUCCAUAUUAUCUAUUCAAACGCUACUUUUCUUAUCCACUGAAACAACCCAAUUUUUAUCCAAACACUUUUUUUUUUAUCCACAUACUUGUAUCUAUCUCUAUAAUAGCUAAUUUUUGCUUACACCCGAAUCAAAUGGUACCUAAAAGAAAAACAGGUACACGUUUAUAU
rnacentral:lncRNA from 1 species